GACGUAGGGCGCGAGCGUUGUCCGGAUUUACUGGGCGUAAAGAGCUCGUAGGCGGCUUGUUGCGUCGACUGUGAAAACCCGCGGCUUAACCUGGGAAUGGCCGUUGAAACUGGCGAACUGGAGUGUGGCAGAGGGGGGUGGAAUUCCGCGUGUAGCAGUGAAAUGCGUAGAGAUGCGGAGGAACACCGAUGGCGAAGGCAGCCCCCUGGGCUAACACUGACGCUCAGGCACGAAAGCGUGGGGAGCAAACAGG
rnacentral:rRNA from 1 species